CUACGCCUACAUGAAGCUGGAGUUACUAGUAAUCGCAGAUCAGAAUGCUGCGGUGAAUGCGUUCCCGGGUCUUGUACACACCGCCCGUCACACCACGGAAGUUGGGGCGCCCGAAGCCACUUAGCUAACCCUUUGGGAAGCGAGUGUCGAAGGUGAAAUCAAUAACUGGGGUGAAGUCGUAACAAGGUAGC
rnacentral:rRNA from 1 species